rnacentral:rRNA from 1 species
UACCUGGUUGAUUCUGCCACUAUUCAUAUGCUUGUCUCAAAGAUUAAGCCAUGCAUGUCUAAGUAUAAACAACUUUGUACUGUGAAACUGCGAAUGGCUCAUUAAAUCAGUUAUAGUUUAUUUGAUGGUUUUUGCUACAUGGAUAACUGUGGUAAUUCUAGAGCUAAUACAUGCAUUCAAGCCCCGACUUCUGGAAGGGGUGUAUUUAUUAUAUAAAAAACAACUUUGUUGGUGAAUCAUAAUAACUUCUCGGACCGCAUGGGCUCGAGCUGGCAGAGCUUCAUUCAAAUAUCUGCCCUAUCAACUGUCGAUGGUAGGAUAGAGGCCUACCAUGGUUGCUACGGGUAACGGGGAAUAAUGGUUCGAUUCCUGAGAGGGAGCCUGAGAAACGGCUACCACAUCCCACGAAGGCAGCAGGCGCGCAAAUUACCCAAUCCCCACACCGGGAGGUAGUGACAAUAUGUAACAAUAUACGGCCUUAUCCGUCUUUAAAUUGGAAGGAGUACAAUUUAAAUCCCUUACCACACAACAAUUGAAGGGAAAGUUUGGUGCCUGCAACCCCGCUAAUUCCACCCCCAAUACCUAAAUUAAAGUUGUUGUAGUUUAAAAAAUCGUAUUUGGAUCUUGUACUCGGACCGGAGGUCCCCCCCUCCCGCAAGAACCGCACAGUUGGGACUUUCCUCUUGGUGAUCUUGUUGUUUCGGCCUCCAGCNAAACAGGACCCUUACUUUUUACAAAAUUAUAGUGUUUCAAAACCGGGUUUUAGCCCGAAAAUAUUUAUCUUGGAAUAAUAAAAUAUGAACUGCGGAUCCAUUUUGUUGGUUUUUGGAAUCCCCCUAAUGGUAAAAUAGGGUCGGUUGGGGGCUUAUUUCUUAACGUGUGAGAGGAGAAAUUCUUGGAUUUUGGGAAGACUAAUUUGGCCGAAAAACAUUUGCCCAUGGUUGUUUUCAUUUAUCAAGGAGCGAAGGUUGGGGUAUCGAAAACGAUUUGAUUCCCGUGUUAGUUUUAACAGUAAACUAUGCCGAGUAGGGAUCGGUCGAUUUUAUUUUUUUGACUCGAUCGGCACCUANCGAAAAAUCAAAGUUUUUGGGUUCGGGGGGGAGUAUGCUCGCAAGGCUGAAACUUAAAGAAAUUGACGGAAGGGCACCACCAGGAGUGGAGCCUGCGGCUUAAUUUGAUUCAACACGGGGAAACUCACCAGGUCCAGACAUAGGAAGGAUUGACAGAUUGAUAGCUCUUUCUUGAUUCUAGGGGUGGUGGUGCAUGGCCGUUAUUAGUUGGAGGAGUGAUUUGUCUGGUUAAUUCCGAUAACGAACGAGACCUUAACCUGCUAAAUAGCCCCGUCGACUUUGGUUGGGGGCUGGCUUCUUAGAGAGACUAUGGGCUUCCACCCAAUGGAAGUUUGAGGCAAUAACAGGUCUGUGAUGCCCUUAGAUGUUGUGGGCCGCACGCGCGCUACACUGAGGGAGCCAACGAGUUCUUUCUUUGUCCGGAAGGACUGGGUAAUCUUGUGAAACUUUGUCGUGCUGGGGAUAGAGCAUUGCAAUUAUUGCUCUUCAACGAGGAAUUCCUAGUAAGCGUGAGUCAUCAGCUCGCGUUGAUUACGUCCCUGCCCUUUGUACACACCGCCCGUCGCUACUACCGAUUGAAUGGCUUAGUGAGCCUUUGGGAUCAGCCGCUUGUACCGGCAACGGGAACGAGCGGCCGAAAACUUAGGCAAACUUGGUCAUUUAGAGGAAGUAAAAGUCGUAACAAAGGGCGAAUCGCGGCCGCAAAUCAAUCCCUAUGUAUCCG